rnacentral:rRNA from 1 species
CCCAUGGCCGGAUGUUGGAUGUGCGGUCUCUGGAGCCUUUGGGUCUGCUACGCUUAUCAAACCCGUCAUUGUAUGUAUGGUGGGGUAGCAUCCACCUUUUGUUGGGUUGCCCCUCAAGUAUGUAAACAUGAAUAAUAUAACUUUCAACAACGGAUCUCUUGGCUCUCGCAUCGAUGAAGAACGCAGCGAAAUGCGAUAAGUAAUGUGAAUUGCAGAAUUCAGUGAAUCAUCGAAUCUUUGAACGCACCUUGCGCUCCUUGGCAUUCCGAGGAGCAUGCCUGUUUGAGUGUCGUUGAAUUCUCAGAACCCCCCUUCACAAGUGGGUUCGGAUUGGUGGAGGAUGCAUUGGACUUGGACUUUUUUGACUCCCUUUGCUUUGCUUCUCUGAAAUGGAUUGGCCUUACGGCUGCGAUUCACGAACCUUGUCGUCGGUAUGAUAAUGUCUUACCUGCUUCUAACCCGUGCCAGCCCGGCCCAGACCGAGACCAUCGUCUCUAUCUAUCUACAUUUUGACCUCAAAUCAGGCAGGACUACCCGCUGAACUUAAGCAUAUCAAUAAGCGGAGGAAAAGAAACUAACAAGGAUUCCCCUAGUAACUGCGAGUGAAGCGGGAAGAGCUCAAAUUUAAAAUCUGGCGGUCGCUUGGCCGU